UACGUAGGGUGCGAGCGUUGUCCGGAAUUAUUGGGCGUAAAGAGCUUGUAGGCGGUCUGUCGCGUCUGCUGUGAAAAUCCGGGGCUCAACCCCGGACUUGCAGUGGGUACGGGCAGACUAGAGUGUGGUAGGGGAGACUGGAAUUCCUGGUGUAGCGGUGAAAUGCGCAGAUAUCAGGAGGAACACCCGUAGCGAAGGCGGCACUCUGGGCCGAUUCUGACACUGAGGAGCGAAAGCGUGGGGAGCGAACAGG
rnacentral:rRNA from 1 species